ACCGAGGCAUCGACGGGUAGCUGGUCUGAGAGGACGAUCAGCCACACUGGGACUGAGACACGGCCCAGACUCCUACGGGAGGCAGCAGUGGGGAAUCUUGCGCAAUGGGCGAAAGCCUGACGCAGCAACGCCGCGUGCGGGAUGAAGGCCUUCGGGUUGUAAACCGCUUUCAGCAGGGAAGAAAUUGACGGUACCUGCAGAAGAAGCCCCGGCCAACUACGUGCCAGCAGCCGCGGUAACACGUAGGGGGCGAGCGUUGUCCGGAUUUAUUGGGCGUAAAGAGCUCGUAGGCGGUUCACUAAGUCGGGUGUGAAACCUCCAGGCUCAACCUGGAGACGCCACCUGAUACUGGUGUGACUAGAGUCCGGUAGGGGAGUGUGGAACUCCUGGUGUAGCGGUGAAAUGCGCAGAUAUCAGGAGGAACACCAGCGGCGAAGGCGGCACUCUGGGCCGGUACUGACGCUGAGGAGCGAAAGCGUGGGUAGCAAACAGGAUUAGAUACCCUGGUAGUCCACGCCGUAAACGUUGGGCACUAGGUGUGGGUCUCAACCAACGAGAUCCGUGCCGCAGCUAACGCAUUAAGUGCCCCGCCUGGGGAGUACGGCCGCAAGGCUAAAACUCAAAGGAAUUGACGGA
rnacentral:rRNA from 1 species